GGUUGCUUCAUCAAGUAACAGUAUUUUUGGGUCCCGAAGAAGAGCUCUCGCUAUGGCAAUCCGUUGCUUUUGACCUCCAGACAUUUGGAAACCAAACUGACCGACCUGAAAAGAAGUCGACAUACCAAAGUUGAUAACUAGUUUUCGAGCCGCGAAGUCUUAGACAGCAACCUAAUUCUGUCCAUCAUAAUCUUGCCGAACACAAGCCCUGGACCAAUGAACAUGGCCGAGAGCGGGAUGACUGCAAAGGUGAAUUUCCACGAUACUAUAAAGGCAAAUACGUGGCAGAAGAAGAAUGUUGACAUAGUUUUCCAUAAGAAAAGGCAACAUACCAAAGAGGAGCAAGCCUUACCUUGUCAACCAUAUCGUUUGUCAAGCCACUGUUCUUGUCUCCAUAAGCAUUGAUUACAUCCUUAAGAAGGAACAUCGUGAGAGGGAUCUGUGAUCCAUCUCCUAUGCUGCCCAAAGUCCCAAAAAACAUCAGAAACUUGUCGAAGCCAUCAGCAUACCGAAACAUGCUUUUGCCUGCCAUUUUUUCAGCUCUGUGGUUUAGAAGAGUGACAGAGAGAAAGAGAGGAGCAGCAUUCUCUGAAAUGGCCAAUGCCAGGGUCAAAAUUGGUCACGAGCACGGGGCUUAGUCAAGUAGAAUCGGGUUGCACUGCUGGAUGCUCUGAUCGAAAAAAAUCAGUGGGGCCAUGCCGGUACGACUGAAUAUGCAUUAGAAAUGUCAAUCCCUCCGCUACUACACCAAAAAAAAUCGGGCCGAACUUUUACCCACCUGCUUCCAUGGAACAAUAUCAUGACAACGUAGACCAAAGUGGUCAUAUUGGAUCAUUGGAAACCAUCACAAGUAUGGCCGGCUUAUAUUUGAACGAGAAUGUCGUGUUGUCGAACGAAAUUUGCCCAAAAAAAAUGUUUGUAGUUAAAAAUGGUAUCAUGUCGGGUUGCGGGUUACACCUGUAACUCUAGACUUUGAAAGUUUCACUUUUAUCCAUUUUGUUUCAGAAAAAAUACCUUUGAACUU